UUUUUUUUUUUUUUUUUGNUUUUUUUUUCCAAUAUUAGCAAGAGUUAUUACAACUACAACUAUAACUAUAACUGCAACUAUAACUACAACGAUAAGAACUAUCACUACUCUGAAGACAACGAUGUGUUUUCUCAAGAUGAUAACGGAUCUAGCUUCGCCAUCAAUAAGUAUGAGACAAAGGAGUCCAUCUUUGAUGAAACAUCCAUUUGCCUGUUGUACAUUUUUGCAGGACAACCAGCCUGAGCACAAGAGACAUGGUGUACUAGACUUUGUGCGGAAUGUCUACUUCAAAACUCGCAUCUUUAUAUCUGAUAUAUAGAGAGAGGCUGAUGAUUUAUAAACACAAACGAUAAGACUUGUAACAUGAAGUUUGUCGAAAAAGUCAAUCUUUAAAUUCCUUUCUGAACCUCUCUGUUAUGUCAGUGCUUCGGUAUUAUGCUUUAAUGCAGUCACUUGAGGCGUUGUCCUAAUAGGUGCAAAGUUACCGUAUAUUUAGGUUUCAUGUUUGCGAUUACUGGAGAACGACUGUGAAGAGACCAACCGUAUCGUGUUUUUUCCAAUUGUGAUCUUCCAAUGCUUAAUAAAUACGAAAUCUUAUUUCGAUUUACAGGGCUGGGCAUUCACGAAACAUAGCGNUUUUACNUUUCUACAGGCACACCAAUAAACAACUUGCAAUAUCUGCCAUCACUUUAUUUCCUCCAACUUUGGUCAAGNUNAAAAGUGGNCAGAAAGUGNUUNCCCGAUAUGNAGAAUAACCCNNNCCCAUAUGGUUGUUGCCAAAAACUAAAACGCCCCAUUUCAUNCAA
rnacentral:sRNA from 1 species